rnacentral:rRNA from 1 species
AGGACGAACGCUGGCGGCGUGCUUAACACAUGCAAGUCGAGCGGAAAGGCCCUUCGGGGGUACUCGAGCGGCGAACGGGUGAGUAACACGUGAGCAAUCUGCCCUUAGCUUCGGGAUAGCUCCGGGAAACCGGAAUUAAUACCGAAUAUGACUACGGUUGACAUCAGCCAUGGUGGAAAGUUUUUCGGCUAGGGAUGAGCUCGCGGCCUAUCAGCUAGUUGGUGGGUAACGGCCUACCAAGGCGACGACGGGUA